UUCUGUCUCGGUGUCGCGUGCGCUAAUGGCCGGAUUGCAUAACACCUCUUCUACGAACAAGUCACUUGUGAAUCGAGUGGCAAAGGCAAUCAAAUCGUCUUGAUUCCUCUUGAGCGAAGUGGAGCGAGGACCGAUAGACAUUUUUCCUUCGAUCUUCCUACGUUUUAUUGAACGCUCGAGAUUGGAAUAAUAAUUACGUAUAUUUCUACAUAAACACGUUUAUUUUACAUUCAUAUAUAAAAAUUUAUAUUAUACGUCCGUGAAACACUUAUUUCUUAAGUCCAUCGAUAUUUGUCGUAUAUACGUUCGAAGUUAACUGAAAUUAUUACGCUUCCAUCGCUUCCAUUAUACUUAUCUUCAUUUUCGGUAUGAGAUUUAUUACAUAAGCUCGUAAAUUAUAGAACUCUUUCCAACGUAUCAUCUCUAUUAUUAUACCAAGUAAAAAGUGGGUCAGAAAGACGCACCGUCUGCAGUCGAUAGUCUCAGUACAUUUCUCGGAAGCUGAAUAAGGGGAAACAACUUGGCAGAGGCCAUCAAGUGGGUCAGCCAUCAUGUCUCACUCAAUUUCGUGACACCGAUAGGACCACUUCUCUCAGCGUAUAUCUACGUACGAACAUAUCGAUGUGUAAGUCUCCUCGAAAGACGAAAGUUUUCAUUGGAAAGCUGCACGUACCGUGAAAGAAGGUAACGUCAUCGUGGCCUCUUCCUUCUCUCUCUCUCUACACACUUUUCGAAUGGCUCUCUUUUAUCGUGUGGCAACGUAAUAAUUUCAAGCAUUGAUCUUACGUAACGUUACGUUCCCCGAUAGAAAAUAUAAAAUUUUGUCAUCUUGUCAACAUAUUCAUAUAAGUUUUGUAAUAUUUCAAUAUUCAUCGAACCACUUAAAAUAAAACGAAAGGAGAUACAGGAAUAUAGUAGGAAGGAAAUAAUGAGAGAAAAUGAAUAAUUUUCUGUCACAAUUAUAUUAUUUUAUAUAAAAAAAAAAAUACAUACAUUGCUAUCUCGGUAUAAAAGUAAGAUAAGGGAGAGAA